UUUGGGAGUGUCUCCCUUCUCGGGAGACUCUCUUGACCCCACGAACCCUUGACCUCAAAUCGGGUGAGACUACCCGCUGAACUUAAGCAUAUCAAUAAGCGGAGGAAAAGAAACUAACAAGGAUUCCCCUAGUAACUGCGAGUGAAGCGGGAAAAGCUCAAAUUUAAAAUCUGGCGGUCUCUGGC
rnacentral:rRNA from 1 species